rnacentral:rRNA from 1 species
CCUACGGGAGGCAGCAGUGAGGAAUAUUGGUCAAUGGACGAGAGUCUGAACCAGCCAAGUAGCGUGAAGGAUGACUGCCCUAUGGGUUGUAAACUUCUUUUAUAUGGGAAUAAAAUGUUCCACGUGUGGGAUUUUGUAUGUACCAUAUGAAUAAGGAUCGGCUAACUCCGUGCCAGCAGCCGCGGUAAUACGGAGGAUCCGAGCGUUAUCCGGAUUUAUUGGGUGUAAAGGGAGCGUAGGUGGAUUGUUAAGUCAGUUGUGAAAGUUUGCGGCUCAACCGUAAAAUUGCAGUUGAAACUGGCAGUCUUGAGUACAGUAGAGGUAGGCGGAAUUCGUGGUGUAGCGGUGAAAUGCUUAGAUAUCACGAAGAACUCCGAUUGCGAAGGCAGUUCACUGGACUGCAACUGACACUGAGGCUCGAAAGUGUGGGUAUCAAACAGGAUUAGAUACCCUAGUAGUC